GCGUCGGUGGUGUAGUGGUAAGCGUGGUUGCUUCUCAUCCCAAUCGGUCGGGGUUCAAUUCCCGUCGACGCC
rnacentral:tRNA from 1 species